rnacentral:rRNA from 1 species
AUGAGUUCGCUAUGCACAUUCCUGGCCGUCCUGACUACUGCGAUUGCGAUCGUGGCCGCUAGCGACGAGGCUGCGUUGCUCGCUUUCAAAGCGCAGGUCAGCGAUGGCGGCUCGCUGGCCUCCUGGAAUAGCAGCGCCAGCUUUUGCAGCUGGGAAGGUGUGACAUGCAGCCACCGCAGACCAGCGCGGGUGGUGGCGCUGAGAUUGAACAACAAGGCGCUCGCCGGAGAACUCUCCCCAGCCAUCGGGAACCUCACGUUCCUGCGGACGCUCAACCUAAGCUUCAACUGGUUCCACGGGGAGAUACCAGCGAGCCUUGGCCGCCUCCGCCGCCUGCAUAGGCUCGACUUGGGCAACAACUCCUUCUCUGGCACAUUACCAGUGAACCUGAGCUCAUGUGUCAGCAUGGCCAUAAUGGGACUGCUAAACAACAAGCUUGGCGGGCGCAUCCCGGCUGAGAAGCUCACGUCCCUAGUAAGGAUGUCACUGAGUAACAACAGCUUCACAGGGCUCAUCCCUCCAUCACUGGCCAAUCUGUCCCAUUUGGAAGUCCUUGAUCUCUCACGCAACCAGCUUGUGGGCUCAAUCCCACCAGGGCUCGGAAGCAUCCACGGCAUGCAACAGUUCAGCAUCGCCAGAAACCUCAUCAGCGGUAUGAUUCCAACCUCUCUCUACAAUUGGUCCUCGCUAGAACUAUUUGAUGUAGGGACAAAUAUGUUGUACGGCAUUUUGGAUGAUUUCGGAAACAAUUUCCCCAAGUUGGAAUAUCUUGGCUUGUCUGGUAAUCACUUCACUGGAACAAUCCCGUCCUCAAUAUCCAACAUAUCUUCCCUCAUAUCAGUUGGCUUUGAUAGCAACAGAUUUAGUGGGUACUUUCCUCCCACAUUUGGGAAGCUGGGAGCACUUCAAUAUUUGAACUUGAAUAACAAUAAGCUUGAAGCGAAUGACAACAAGGGGUGGGAAUUCAUCACGUCUUUGGGAAACUGCAGCCAACUGCAGCUAUUGGGACUCGGCAUCAAUUCUUUUGAAGGACAACUACCAGGUUCAAUUGUGAACCUGUCAACGACUCUCCAAUACUUGUACUUAGGUGACAAUAGGAUCUCUGGGAGUAUUCCUGCAGAUAUAGGCAAUUUAGUUGGUCUGCAAACACUUGUGAUAGCAAACACUUCCAUGUCCGGAGUGAUUCCAAAGAGCAUUGGUAAGCUAGAGAACUUGAUCGAUCUAGCUUUGUACAACAAUAGCUUGUCUGGGCUCAUACCGCCAUCUCUAGGAAACCUUUCACAAUUGAAUAAGCUUUAUGCACGUAAUAGCAACUUGGAGGGACCAAUUCCGGCAAGCCUGGGGAAGUUGAAAAACCUCUUUGUACUUGAUCUAAAAAUGAAUUACCGUCUCAAUGGUUCAAUACCCAAAGAAAUUUUCAGAUUACCCAGCCUUUCUUGGUAUUUGGACUUGACAUACAAUUCCCUUUCCGGACCCCUUCCUAAUGAAGUUGGUAGCUUGGCAAACCUUAACCUACUAGUUCUAUCAGGAAACCAGUUGUCUGGCAAGAUACCCGACAGUAUACAGAACUGCAUGGUAUUGGAACAACUAUUCUUAGACAACAAUUCCUUUGAGGGAAACAUACCUCAGUCACUGACAAAUAUAAAGGGGCUCAGUAUAUUGAACCUGACCAUGAAUAAGUUCUCUGGUAAUAUUCCUGAUGCCCUUGGCAAUAUUGGAAACCUGCAAGAGUUGUACGUAGCACACAACAACUUGUCAGGAUCAAUCCCAUUAGUUCUACAGAAUUUGUCAUCAUUGUCUGAAUUGGAUAUAUCCUACAAUAAUUUGCAAGGCGAGGUGCCAAAUGAAGGUGUUUUCAGAAACAUCACUCACUUAUCAGUUGUUGGGAAUGUCAAUUUGUGUGGUGGUACACCUCAACUUCAUUUGGCUCCGUGCCCCACAAGGGUCUUAAGCAAGAAGAGAAAAAAGAUGCCAAAGUCCCUUGUAAUUUCUCUAGCAGCAGUUGGAGCAAUCGUGUUCUCACUUUCAGUGAUUGUUCUUGUUUGGAGACUUUGUAAGAAGCUCAAAUCAAGCCCGAAGACAGUAGCAAAAGAUUCAAUUGUUGAUGGCCAUUACAGAAGAAUCCCCUAUCCUGCAUUACUGAAAGGAACUAACGAAUUUUCAGAAGCCAACUUGCUUGGGAGAGGAAGUUAUGGUGCGGUUUAUAAGUGUGUUUUGGACAACGAAGAAAGAACAUUGGCUGUCAAGGUGUUUAACCUUGGUCAAUCUAGGUAUUCGAAGAGUUUUGAGGCUGAAUGUGAGGCUAUGAGAAGGAUACGACAUCGUUGUCUCAUUAAGAUCGUUACUUCUUGUUCGAGCAUCAACCACCAAGGUCAAGAGUUCAAGGCAUUGGUC